rnacentral:rRNA from 1 species
CUACGGGGUGCACCAGUGAGGAAUAUUGCACAAUGGGGGGAACCCUGAUGCAGCAACGCCGCGUGGAGGAUGACGCAUUUCGGUGUGUAAACUCCUUUUAUAUGUCAAGAAAAUGACGGUAGCAUAUGAAUAAGCACCGGCUAACUCCGUGCCAGCAGCCGCGGUAAUACGGAGGGUGCAAGCGUUACUCGGAAUCACUGGGCGUAAAGGACGCGUAGGCGGGUUGGAAAGUCAGGUGUGAAAUCCUACAGCUUAACUGUAGAACUGCACUUGAAACUUCUAAUCUAGAGUAUGGAGGGGGAGAUGGAAUUAGUGGUGUAGGGGUAAAAUCCGUAGAUAUCACUAGGAAUACCUAAAGCGAAGGCGAUCUCCUGGAACAUUACUGACGCUAAGGCGUGAAAGCGUGGGGAGCAAACAGGCUUAGAUACCCUCGUAGUC